rnacentral:rRNA from 1 species
AAAAAGCUCGUAGUUGGAUUUCUGUUAAUAAUUUAUAUAAAAUAUUUUGAUGAAUAUUUAUAUAAUAUUAACAUAAUUCAUAUUACUAUAUUUUUUAGUAUAUGAAAUUUUACUUUGAGAAAAUUAGAGUGCUUAAAGCAGGCAUAUGCCUUGAAUACUCCAGCAUGGAAUAAUAUUAAAGAUUUUUAUCUUUCUUAUUGGUUCUAAGAUAAGAAUAAUGAUUAAUAGGGACAGUUGGGGGCAUUUGUAUUUAACAGUCAGAGGUGAAAUUCUUAGAUUUGUUAAAGACAAACUAAUGCGAAAGCAUUUGCCAAGGAUGUUUUCAUUAAUCAAGAACGAAAGUUAGGGGAUCGAAGACGAUCAGAUACCGUCGUAGUCUUAACCAUAAACUAUGCCAACUAGAGAUUGGAGGUUGUUCCUUACUCCUUC